CCUUGCUUUUCAGCACUCCACAGAAAAUAAGCUAAUUAGAAGGAAGGAAAGAACAUGAAAAGAAAAAUAUUCUUAAAACAGGACAUGAAAAGAGAGCUAUUCUUCAAAUAUUUAUAGGGUUUCGGCCCCAGAGUUUUCCAUGUUUUCAUCUCCACUCAAUAGCCUCAGGAAGAUGGGGGAGGGCACAUUUUGUCAUGUGGUGAGAUCAGGAGAACCUUCAGAGAGCGACAAGGUUGAGUGGACGUUGCAUCCUACCGGAAGGGACUGGUAGGUGCUCCCUGCCUCCUCUCUCCAGGUAUCAGAUCGUGAAUGGGAAGAAAUGGAAAGUAAAAAAGAGUCUGAAUUUGAGAGAUUUGGAAGGUACACCGAUUUUUUUCAAAUGCAGAGAAGACUUUUGGGUGUCCCAAUAGUUCCAGUUCCUUAGGUUAUGAGCCACAGAACUUGCAUGUCCAGGGAGAGAUUCUCCUGCUGGCUCUGAAAAGAAACCACAUGUUGCAAGACAGUCAUGUGACUAGGAUACAAGGUUGGCCGCCAGGAUUGAGAGCAACUCCUGGCCAACAGCCCGCAAGAAAACAGGGGCAUCCGUCUUGAAACCACAAGGAACUGAAUUCUUCCAACCACCUCAAUAAGAAAGGAAGAAGACCUACAGCUUCAGAUAAAACUGCAGCCCUGGCCAGCACUUUGAUUUCAGCACUUGAUCCAAAGACUCAGCUAACCUGACCCAAGAGAACCAGGAGAUAAUGAGUGUACAUUGUCUUAAGCUGCUACUUUAGGUGUAAUUUGCUGUGGCAGAAAUAGGAAACAAAUACAAGGCCAAAAUGCUGAAGUUCCCCAACAACACACAUGAGCAGACAGACUCUCACACACGUAUACAUGCACACACUAUUUUUAGAAAGUUAUAUCUUAAUUAGUAACCAGUCUUUUCUCAUCACAAGUGUUUCCUUCUUUAGUAGAGAAUCAAAAAACUAGAUUAAAGAAAUAAAAUUCUCCCUGCUUCUCUCUAACCAUGAAAGAAAGCAAAAUUCUUAGGUUCAGACCAAAUAAAUGGACAGGCUAGAUUAUGGGAUGUCCUCAGCAGCAGGUAUUUCCUAAUAAGAGAUCAAAUGCCAGACAGGCAGUUUUUAGGUGUAUUAGUCCAAAUUCACACUGCCGUAAAGAAAUACUCACGACUGGAUAAUUUAUAAAGGAAAGAGAUUUAGUUGACUCGCAGUUCCACGUGGCUGGGGAAGCCUCAGGAAACUUACAAUCAUGAUGGAAGGUGAAGGAGAAGCAAGUACCUUCUUCACAAGGUAGCAGGAAAGAGAAAGAGAACAGGGAAAACUGCCAAACACUUUUAAAGCAUCAGCUCUCAUGAGAACUAACUCACUAUCAUGAGAACAGCAUAGGGCAAACCACCCCCAUGAUCCAAUCACCCCCCACCAAGUCCUCCCUAGACAAAAAGGGGUUAUUGGGAUUACAAUUCAAGAUGAGAUUUGGGUGGAGACACAGAGCCAAACCAUAUCAGUAGGAAACUUGGUUUUGUAAGUGGAAAAAAAUAAAGGUAAACAGAUAUUUUUGCUCUGUAAUUUGCCAUCUGAGCAUGGCUAGAUUUUAAAUCUCCCUACAUCCAAGUUUUGUCAUCCAUAAAGUAGGGACAAUAAUACCCAUUUCAUAAAACAUUUUCCUUUUUUAAAAAAUUGAGAAAUAAUCACAUACCUUAAAAUUCAAUAUUUUAAAGUAUGUAAAUCAGUGUUGUUGUUUUUUUGUGUAGUGACAAAGUUGUGCAACCAUCAUCACUAUCUAAUUCCAGAAUAUGUCCUUACCCCAAAACAAUCCCCGUACCCAUUAGCAAUCACUUUCCAUCUCCCUGUCUCCCAGUCUCUGGCAACCACUAAUCUACUUUUUGUCUCUAUGUAUUUGCCCAUUUCUGAAAUUUUGUAUAAAUUGAACCACACAGUACGUGGCCUUCUGUGUCUGGCUUCUUUCACUUUGCAUGAUAUAUUCAAGGUUCAUCCAUGUUUUAACUUUAUGAGAUUUUUGUGAUUAAAGAAGGCCUCAAUCCAGAGCCACAGAGAUUAUGUCAACCCAUCAUUUCAUGCGAUAUAGAAGUCCUUGCUCACAACAUCCUUGGCUGAGUGUUCAGACUCUUCUUGAAAACCCCCAGGCACUGGGUACUCACUAUUGACAAAAGUCGACUUUCACCAUGGCUGCA
rnacentral:lncRNA from 1 species